AAAAAGAAAAAAGCUAUUGUUUUUUGUGUAUCUAUGUAGCAUCCUAUAUCUUAUCACACUCUCUUAAUAUGUCUUGUAAUUGUUUUGCCUUCUUUUUUAUUUUUUUGAGACAGAGUCUCGCUCUGUCCCCAGGCUGGAGUACAGUGGCAUGGGUACCAGUGGCUACUCGAGUAGCUGGGAUUACACGUGCGUGCCACCAUGCCCAGCUAAUUUUUGUAUUUUUAGUAGAGACAGGGUUUCACCAUGUUGGCCAGGCUGGUCUCUAACUCCUGAUUGCAAGUGACCCUCCCGCCUUGGCCCCCCAAAGUGCUAGGAUUAUAGGUGUGAGCCACUGCUCCCAGCCCACAAUAGCUUUUUUUCUACCUUAAUAGGAACCAACUAAAAAUAAGAAUGGGAACAUAUUUAUGCAUAUAUAAUGUUGACAUAAACUAUACAUUCUUUAGGAAUAGUUCUAACAAGUAAGUAACAGAAAAUAUAGGGGAAAAACUCUUAGUUAAGAAAACUAUGAGAAAGAAAAACAAUAAGGGAGAUUUGCCCUACCAGAUAAUCGGAAACUAAAGCCACAAUAAUCAAACCUCUACAAGUAUGGAUAUAGAGUUAGAUUCUGAGGAGAUGUUCACGUAGACAAAUGUGGUAAUUUAAUUCAGGAGGAAAGAAAUGGGCCAUUUAAUUAACAACUGACUACUUUCUGGAAGAAAAUUUAAAAAGACUCUGUCUUAUACUACAUAUGAAAAUACACUGCAGAUGAAUAAAAGGCUUAGAUAUAAAUUUUAAAACUCUAGGCAAGAAAUCUAGGUAACUACAUGAUCAAUAGAAACCUACAAGCGAUAAAGUAAAGGUAGCCAUGUUUGAUUAUAUAAAAAAUUUUUUAAAUUUAAGACAAAACCAAUCAUAAACAAAGUCAAUAACAGUAGAUUUGAAAAUAAUAAUAAAGCAUAUGAUAGAAAAGGGGUUGAUUUUUAAAAAACAGAUGAAGAGCUCUUACAAAUUGACAAGAAAAAUGACCAAAAACCCAACAGAAAAUGUGCAACCAAUAUGAAUUGCAAGGGGAUAGAGAAAAAUAAAUCCAAAGACCCACAAACAUAUGAAAAGACACUUAAAUUCACUAGAGUUAGGGAAAUACAGGCUACAGUAACAGUAAGAUAUUACAGGUUAAGCAUUUCUAAUCUGAAAAUCUGAAAUGCUCCAAAAUCAGAAACUUUGAGUGUGGACAUGACACUCUAAAUGGGAAAUUCCACACUGACCUCAUGUGACAGAUCUCAGUCAAAACGCAGAUGUCAACUGCACGGUUUAUUUAGCAUCUGCAAGGUAAUCAAGACCCUUCCGGCCCCCAUCAGC
rnacentral:lncRNA from 1 species